rnacentral:rRNA from 1 species
GUCCACACCGUAACGUUGGGCGCUAGGUGUGGGAUCCAUUCCACGGGUUCCGUGCCGCAGCUAACGCAUUAAGCGCCCGCCUGGGGAGUACGGCCGCAAGGCUAAACUCAAGGAAUUGACGGGGCCCGCACAAGCGGCGGAGCAUGCGGAUUAAUUCGAUGCAACGCGAAGAACCUUACCUGGGUUUGACAUAUGCCGGAAAGCUCCAGAGAUGGAGCCCCUUUUGUCGGUAUACAGGUGGUGCAUGGCUGUCGU